CAAGCUACCUGUUGCCCUUGGGAUUGAUGGCUUGAAAGAAGGAAAUACAGAUGAAAUCUCUCCAUGACUGAAGCAGCAGUGACAAGGGAACACCAGGGAAGUCUGUCUGUUUCAAGAAAAAUGGAAGAAAGCGUUCAUACUUUUGGACGUGGAGAACAUUCCUUUCUGUGUGAUUGGUUUGCAAACGCCCCACCCACUCCACUCACUCAUAUCACUCGCCAGCCGCUGUGUGAAGCUGAAAGAGAAUAGGUUCGCUGUCUGGCCUGACAGAGGAAUGAUGGGGGCAAC